UACGUAGGUGGCAAGCGUUGUCCGGAAUUAUUGGGCGUAAAGCGCGCGCAGGUGGUUCCUUAAGUCUGAUGUGAAAGCCCCCGGCUCAACCGGGGAGGGUCAUUGGAAACUGGGGAACUUGAGUGCAGAAGAGGAUAGUGGAAUUCCAAGUGUAGCGGUGAAAUGCGUAGAGAUUUGGAGGAACACCAGUGGCGAAGGCGACUGUCUGGUCUGUAACUGACACUGAGGCGCGAAAAGCGUGGGGA
rnacentral:rRNA from 1 species